rnacentral:rRNA from 1 species
UAUUAUUUUAUAUAUUUUUAAUUAAUAAUUAAAUUAAAAUAAUUUAAAGUUAAAUAAAAUGGCAGUGUUUAUAAAAAUUAGAGGAUUUUGUUAUGUAAUAGAUAGUACACUUUAAAAUUUAUUUAUUUUUUUUUAUAUUGUAUAUUGUUGUAUUAAACUAAUAUAUUUAAUAAUUAUUAGUUUUAAUAUUAUUUUAAUAUAAAAUUCAAAUAAAUAUGCAUAUAAUAAGUGAAUUUUAAAUGAAAUACAAUUAAUUUAUUUAUUGGAUAAUUACUUGUAAUAAUAUUAUGAAAUUGGAUUUAAUAAUAAAUUAUAAUAAAUAUUAUUUUUGAAUUUUUUUUUAAAUAUGCACAUAUGCCCCGUCGUUUUUAUAAUUAAUUAAAAUAA